CUGCGGGGAUGAUCCCUGGAACUCUCUCUUCCUGACCGCGCUGGAGAAGCAACAUCAGGCUCUGAGUGGC
ensembl:snoRNA SNORD26 Small nucleolar RNA SNORD26